rnacentral:rRNA from 1 species
UACGUAGGGUGCAAGCGUUAAUCGGAAUUACUGGGCGUAAAGCGUGCGCAGGCGGUUCCGUAAGAUAGAUGUGAAAUCCUCUGGCUAAACCUGGGAAUUGCAUCUAUGACUGCGAGACUGGAGUUUAUAAGAGGGCGGUGGAAUUCCAUGUGUAGCAGUGAAAUGCGUAGAUAUUUGGAAGAACACCAAUGGCGAAGGCAG